UAGUGACAAUUUCUCCACCGA
rnacentral:piRNA from 1 species